CGCCAGACUCCUACGGGAGGCAGCAGUGGGGAAUAUUGCACAAUGGGGGAAACCCUGAUGCAGCGACGCCGCGUGAAGGACGAAGUAUUUCGGUACGUAAACUUCUAUCAGCAGGGAAGAAAAUGACGGUACCUGACCAAGAAGCCCCGGCUAACUACGUGCCAGCAGCCGCGGUAAUACGUAGGGGGCAAGCGUUAUCCGGAUUUACUGGGUGUAAAGGGAGCGUAGACGGCCAUGCAAGUCUGAUGUGAAAACCCGGGGCUCAACCCCGGGACUGCAUUGGAAGCUGUGCGGCUGGAGUGUCGGAGAGGCAAGUGGAAUUCCUAGUGUAGCGGUGAAAUGCGUAGAUAUUAGGAGGAACACCAGUGGCGAAGGCGGCUUACUGGACUGUAACUGACGUUGAGGCUCGAAAGCGUGGGGAGCAAACAGGAUUAGAUACCGUA
rnacentral:rRNA from 1 species